AGUUGCCACCAAACUUCCUCUCAUCUCCUUUAUACGCCGCCUUGUUUGCUUGGACCGUCUCAACUUGAUUCGCCGAGGUCAUCUCCCCCAUUCCACCAAACAGGCCAAGAGAAUCAUCCUCCUUUUGUAGCUGUCCGCACACAUCAUCAAAGGACGGGAGCUUUGGGGACCUCAGCAUAUGCUUUAUCACAUCCUUGUAAACCGGAUUCAGUGUCAAUAACAA
rnacentral:lncRNA from 1 species